rnacentral:rRNA from 1 species
CCUACGGGAGGCAGCAGUGGGGAAUAUUGGGCAAUGGACGCAAGUCUGACCCAGCAACGCCGCGUGAAGGAAGAAGGCUUUCGGGUUGUAAACUUCUUUUAAGGGGGAAGAGCAGAAGACGGUACCCCUUGAAUAAGCCACGGCUAACUACGUGCCAGCAGCCGCGGUAAUACGUAGGUGGCAAGCGUUGUCCGGAUUUACUGGGUGUAAAGGGCGUGCAGCCGGAGAGACAAGUCAGAUGUGAAAUCCACGGGCUCAACCCGUGAACUGCAUUUGAAACUGGUUCCCUUGAGUGUCGGAGAGGUAAUCGGAAUUCCUGGUGUAGCGGUGAAAUGCGUAGAUAUAAGGAAGAACACCAGUGGCGAAGGCAGAUUACUGGACGAUAACUGACGGUGAGGCGCGAAAGCGUGGGGAGCAAACAGGAUUAGAUACCCCUGUAGUC